rnacentral:rRNA from 1 species
GACACGGCCCAGACUCCUACGGGAGGCAGCAGUGGGGAAUUUUGGGCAAUGGGGAAAACCCUGACCCAGCAACGCCGCGUGGAGGAAGAAGGUUUUCGGAUCGUAAACUCCUGUCCGGAGGGACGAAGCAAGUGACGGUACCUCUGGAGGAAGCCCCGGCUAACUCCGUGCCAGCAGCCGCGGUAAUACGGGGGGGGCAAGCGUUGUUCGGAAUUACUGGGCGUAAAGGGCGCGCAGGCGGUUUCGUCAGUCAUGGGUGAAAGCCCCGGGCUCAACCCGGGAAUGGCCUGUGAAACCACGGAACUGGAGUGCUGGAGAGGGAAGCGGAAUUCCCAGUGUAGCGGUGAAAUGCGUAGAUAUUGGGAGGAACAUCUGUGGCGAAGGCGGCUUCCUGGACAGACACUGACGCUGAGGCGCGAAAGCCAGGGGAGCGAACGGGAUUAGAUACCCCGGUAGUCCUGGCUGUAAACGAUGAAUACUUGGUGUGGGGGGUAGGAAAGUCCCUCUGUGCCGAAGAGAACUCGAUAAGUAUUCCGCCUGGGGAGUACGGCCGCAAGGCUGAAACUCAAAGGAAUUGACGGGGGCCCGCACAAGCGGUGGAGCAUGUGGUUUAAUUCGACGCAACGCGAAGAACCUUACCGGGGUUUGAACUCGGCCGGCGACCUCUAGAGAUAGGGGGUUCCUUUCGGGGACAGGUCGAGAGGUGCUGCAUGGCUGUCGUCAGCUCGCGUCGUGAGAUGUUGGGUUAAGUCCCGCAACGAGCGCAACCCUUGUUUGUAGUUGCCAUCAGGUCAAGCUGGGCACUCUACGGAGACUGUCGGCGAAAAGCCGGAGGAAGGUGGGGAUGACGUCAAGUCCUCAUGGCCUUUAUGUCCCGGGCUACACACGUGCUACAAUGGGCGGAACAGAGGGCAGCGAACCUGCGAAGGUAAGCGAAUCCCAGAAAUCCGCUCUCAGUUCGGAUUGCAGUCUGCAACUCGACUGCAUGAAGUUGGAAUCGCUAGUAAUCGCGGAUCAGAACGCCGCGGUGAAUACGUUCCCGGGCCUUGUACACACCGCCCGUCACAUCACGAAAGUGGGCUGUACUAGAAGCCGCCGGCCUAACCCUUCGGGGAGGGAGGCGUCGACGGUAUGGCUCAUGAUUGGGGUGAAGUCGUAACAAGGUAGCUGUAGGAACCUGUGGCUG